rnacentral:rRNA from 1 species
GUGUCAGCAGCCGCGGUAAUACAGAGGUCUCAAGCGUUGUUCGGAAUCACUGGGCGUAAAGGGUGCGCAGGUGGUCAUGUAAGUCAAAUGUGAAAGACUGGGGCUCAACCUCAGAUUUGCAUGUGAUACUGCGUGACUUGAGAACUGAAGAGGGAUCUUGAAUUCACGGUGUAGCAGUGAAAUGCGUAGAUAUCGUGAGGAACACCAAAGGCGAAAGCAGGAUCCUGGUCAGCUUCUGACACUCAUGCACGAAGGCUAGGGGAGCAAACGGGAUUAGAUACCCUCGUAGUCC